rnacentral:rRNA from 1 species
GACGAACGCUGGCGGCGCGCUUAACACAUGCAAGUCGAGCGAGAACCAGGGCUUCGGCCCUGGGGACAGCGGCGAACGGGUGAGUAACACGUGGGUAAUCUGCCCUCGGCACUGGGAUAACCCGGGGAAACCCGGACUAAUACCGGAUGGCCUCUCGAGCUCUCGGGCUUGAGAGAAAAGGUAGCUUUGGCCUCCGGCCGAGGAUGAGCCCGCGGCCGAUUAGCUUGUUGGUGGGGUAACGGCCCACCAAGGCGACGAUCGGUAGCUGGUCUGAGAGGACGAUCAGCCACACUGGGACUGAGACACGGCCCAGACUCCUACGGGAGGCAGCAGUGGGGAAUCUUGCGCAAUGGGCGAAAGCCUGACGCAGCGACGCCGCGUGCGGGAAGAAGGCCUUCGGGUUGUAAACCGCUUUCAGGAGGGACGAAGCCACUCGGGUUAAUAGCCCAGAGGGUGACGGUACCUCCAGAAGAAGCUCCGGCUAACUACGUG